rnacentral:rRNA from 1 species
AGCGAACGUUUGCGGCGGGCUUAACACAUGCAAGUCGAACGAGAAUCCCUUCGGGGAGGAAAGUGGCGCACGGGUGCGUAACACGUGGAUAACCAACCCAUUGGUUUGGGACAACACCGGGAAACUGGUGCUAAUACCAGAUGUGUCGCAGCUGUCUUCAGGCGGUUGCGAGAAAGGCCCGCAAGGGUCGCCAACGGACGGGUCCGCGUCCCAUCAGCUAGUUGGUGAGGUAAUGGCUCACCAAGGCAAAGACGGGUAGCUGGUCUGAGAGGAUGAUCAGCCACACUGGAACUGAGACACGGUCCAGACUCCUACGGGAGGCAGCAGUGGGGAAUAUUGCGCAAUGGGCGAAAGCCUGACGCAGCCACGCCGCGUGAGCGAUGAAGGUCUUCGGAUCGUAAAGCUCUGGUGGGGGGAGAAGAAGAAAGCCGGUGAAGAGCCGGCCCUGACGGUAUCCCUUAGCAAGCACCGGCUAACUCCGUGCCAGCAGCCGCGGUAAAG